UACAGAGGGGGCAAGCGUUGUUCGGAAUUACUGGGCGUAAAGGGCGCGUAGGCGGCCUGUUAAGUCGAACGUGAAAUCCCCGGGCUCAACCCGGGAACUGCGUCCGAUACUGGCAGGCUUGAAUUCGGGAGAGGGAUGCGGAAUUCCAGGUGUAGCGGUGAAAUGCGUAGAUAUCUGGAGGAACACCGGUGGCGAAGGCGGCGUUCUGGACUGCAACUGACACUGAGGAACGAAAGCCAGGGGAGCAAACGGG
rnacentral:rRNA from 1 species